rnacentral:rRNA from 1 species
AGUGAACGCUGGCGGUAGGCCUAACACAUGCAAGUCGAACGGCAGCACAGUAAGAGCUUGCUCUUACGGGUGGCGAGUGGCGGACGGUUGAGGAAUACAUCGGAAUCUACUUUUUCGUGGGGGAUAACGUAGGGAAACUUACGCUAAUACCGCAUACGACCUACGGGUGAAAGCAGGGGAUCUUCGGAACUUGCGCGAUUGAAUGAGCCGAUGUCGGAUUAGCUAGUUGGCGGGGUAAAGGCCCACCAAGGCGACGAUCCGUAGCUGGUCUGAGAGGAUGAUCAGCCACACUGGAACUGAGACACGGUCCAGACUCCUACGGGAGGCAGCAGUGGGGAAUAUUGGACAAUGGGCGCAAGCCUGAUCCAGCCAUACCGCGUGGGUGAAGAAGGCCUUCGGGUUGUAAAGCCCUUUUGUUGGGAAAGAAAAGCAGCAGGUUAAUACCCCGCUGUUCUGACGGUACCCAAAGAAUAAGCACCGGCUAACUUCGUG